ensembl:lncRNA
AUGAACCAGGACGCAACCUGCCAUUUAUCCUCUCCUUUCCAAGCUCGUCGCGUUUUUUUUUCCUUCUCGGUCCUGCGAUGGGGACAUGCAGGACGUCAGCCUCGUCCCCGGCAGGGUCCCGAAACAGCAGGGCGCUGCUGGCGACGCCUUUUCCCUCCCGCUCCCUCCCUGCCCAGGAGCCCCGCUCCGCUCCGAGGCCAGCUCCUCCUUGCCCGGGAGCGCCGCUCUGUCCGCGGCCAGGGCUGCGCGCAGCGGGGGAGACUCGGUCCCGCCUGCUGGGAGGUGACGACAACGAGGGCUGCCCCAUGGAAAGAACCCCUGAUGCAGGGACCUCUGGCUGGUGCAGCGGGUGGCUCCGGAAAGGGGAACUCGGGAUCUCUCAAUGUCACUAGCGGUCCAUCUGCACAGCUGAUGGUGAGGGCCCCGCUCUGAAGCCCGGAGACGAGGAAGAGGAGGAGGAGGAGGACGAAGAAGAAGAGGAGGAGGAGGCGGCAAGAGAAAGUAAUGAGAAGUUGAGCGAGCCUCAACGGUCCUCUUUCUUCUUUCCUUCCUCUCGCCAGCCCAUCCCGCCAAAGGCAGCAGCAGCACCGGCGGCGGCGUCCCGCAGCAGGUGGAGGGGCUGCGAGAGGGAGCCAGGCGGGGAGCGCUCGGCCUCUCCCUCCUGGGACAGCCGCCACCGCCGCAGCAGCGCAGGUGAAGGAGCGGGAGCCGAAGAACCCCCUCCAUUUCGUCGACGAGGGAGGAGGGGACGGAGGGGCGGCGGGAAACGUCGCCGCGGGAAAGCAGAAGGGGGUCCGGCCGCCAGUGUGACUCUAGCUUCCGAGGGCGAGCCGGGGGGGGGGCGGCAGCUCCUGAAGCGAGGUAAGAAAAGGGGGAGGGCAAAAAGCGGAGCAGAGGCGCGCGCGUAUUUUGGGGGUGGGGAACCCCUAUGCCGGGGCUGCCUCUCGACCCCUGACCGAGAGGGAGGCUGCGGGUCGUGGGCAUUCGUAUUUCCGGGAGAGCCGUGCCUCUCGACCCCUGAGCGAGAGGGAGGCUGCGGGUCGUGUGCAUUCGUAGUUACGGGGAGAGCCAGCGACGAGACGGGAUGCCGCUGAAGGGGAAAGGACACGGGCGCCCAAAGGGAUGCGGGCGGGCGUGGGCGCAGGUGGGAAAGUUGGGAAGGCGCGCUCCCGCGGCCGGUGUGGACGCGGGGUGUGUGCACGGGGUGUGUCCUUGGGUCUGUAUGUCUUUAUACAGUAUACAUACGAAUGUGUGUGUGCGCGCUCUCUCUAUCCAGCCCUCCGGUUCGAGCAGGAGAGAGAGAGAGAGAGAGACGAAGUUGCGCGGUGUGGGUGUGUACUGUGUUAUGUGUGGAGGGGCUUGCUUGCGGGCCCGCGCCGUGAACUCCCGCGGGAAGAACCCUAACUGAACGGGGUGGGUCCCUGAGGAACGCGAGGAAGCUGCGGGUGGGGAAUCCAAUCCCGCCAUAGCAGGGACAAGUGUCGGGUUUUUUGGCGUUUAAAAAAAAAUAGGGUUCCUCUAGGCUGGGGAGCAGAUCUUUCUCCCUAUCCCAGGGCAGGCGGUCGCAAACGUAAAAAGCCCGCAUGGGCGCGCGUCCUCGUGGGGAACGGGUGUGAAAGAGCGCGUGCGCGUGCACCCUCUCCCCAUUCUUUAUAUAAAAUUAUAAUGAUGACUUCACUUGUCUCGGACGGGCCCCUUGUCCCACUCCAGACCCAUUUGGACGGUUCCCCUCCUCGCUCGCGUCCCUUUCCUCCUCCUCCUCUCGCCUGCUGAACGAAGUUUGGCCAGAAGGGCCGAGCCUCGGUUGCCCUAUAAAGGGCGGAGGAAGUCGCUUGAGGGACUGAAAGGAAAAAAAGCCAAGCGCGGGAGCGCCUGGGGGGAACGGAGAGCUUGAAGGGCGCAGGAUUAGGGCCUCGCGGGGGAGGGUCGUGAGGGCCUCCACCUGGGCGGCGCGGAGACUGGCAGCCCUGUGAGGGAAGCCAGCCUGGGCCUAGGCCAUAUGGGGAAGGCUGGUCUCUGAGGAGAGGAAAGAGGACGGCGGGUGGUGUGUGCUUGCUAGGUGUACCUUGGUGAAGGAGAUAAUCUUCAGAGGGAGUAAGAAGACUUGAGGAAGUUUAUGUAGUAGAGGCAGUAUAGAAUAGUAUCUGUGGGAAGCUAGGACGAACUCUUGACAAAAGGGAAUUUUGGGAAGUUAUCUUUCAAAAGGGAACCUUAGAUAAUGAUCUUAGGCCAAGGUCUACUUCUGGGGAGUCUCCCUUUUUUUCAGGGCAUAAAUUAGAAUUUCAGGCCAGUACCCAAAGGCUGAGAUUGUCUGUUCCUGUUCUUAAAUUGGAAGCUGAAGUGAGUUCUUUUCUAAGGCUUGUCUUUGAAUAAUGUUGAUUGGUUGUGCAGCCUGCAGGAAAAAAAGGCUGUCUAGGCAGCAGGACAAAAGGGUGGUGUAUGGAAGUAAAAGGAGUAGUUAGGAAGCAAGCAGGGCAGGGCAAAUGGCUGGUUUGAACCAGUGAAAAGAAAACCCAACAUUGGGGGCAGGUGCUGAAAGUACAGUACAGUAUUCCUCUGGGAAAUCAUAGGCCAGUGUCACUGUAGAGGACAUAUAUACAGAAAAGGCAUAAGUUGCUUCUUUGGGAAAUGGUGCUGAGUUCUCGACAAAGUGCUAGUGAAAGUGUAUGUCUUUGCCUGUAUCUUUUGACAAGGGACAGGCAGAAGCAGUAUUAAUGCAGGAUAGGUAAUAUCUACGUCUAUUCCACGUGAGAGGGUAGCAGGACCUUGUGACUUUUGGCAGAAUAAAAUCCCAGGUACAGUUUGACUUUGCUGAUUC